rnacentral:rRNA from 1 species
GGGGUAUAGUUCUUCUGAGCUAGAGACCGGCGCACGGGUCCUUUACGCCCCUCCCCUCUACCUUUUACAGAGGGAUAGCCCUUUGAAAUUUGGAUUAAUACCUCAUAGUAUGUGAGAAUCGCAUGGUUUUCACAUUAAAGUUCCAACGGUAAAAGAUGAGCAUGCGUCCCAUUAGCUAGAUGGUAAGGUAACGGCUUACCAUGGCAACGAUGGGUAGGGGUCCUGAGAGGGAGAUCCCCCCCACUGGUACUGAGACACGGACCAGACUCCUACGGGAGGCAGCAGUGAGGAAUAUUGGACAAUGGGCGCAAGCCUGAUCCAGCCAUGCCGCGUGCAGGAUGACGGUCCUAUGGAUUGUAAACUGCUUUUGUACAGGAAGAAACACUCCCUCGUGAGGGAGCUUGACGGUACUGUAAGAAUAAGGAUCGGCUAACUCCGUGCCAGCAGCCGCGGUAAUACGGAGGAUCCAAGCGUUAUCCGGAAUCAUUGGGUUUAAAGGGUCCGUAGGCGGUUUAAUAAGUCAGUGGUGAAAGCCCAUCGCUCAACGGUGGAACGGCCAUUGAUACUGUUAAACUUGAAUUAUUAGGAAGUAACUAGAAUAUGUAGUGUAGCGGUGAAAUGCUUAGAGAUUACAUGGAAUACCAAUUGCGAAGGCAGGUUACUACUAAUGGAUUGACGCUGAUGGACGAAAGCGUGGGUAGCGAACAGGAUUAGAUACCCUGGUAGUCCCCGCCGUAAACCAUGGAUACUAGCUGUUGGGAGCAAUCUCAGUGGCUAAGCGAAAGUGAUAAGUAUCUCACCUGGGGAGUACCU